rnacentral:rRNA from 1 species
GGUGAACGCUGGCGGCGUGCCUAAGACAUGCAAGUCGAGCGGGGCAGGUUUAUACCUGUUCAGCGGCGGACGGGCGAGUAACGCGUGGGUGACCUACUCGGAAGAGGCGGACAAUCUGGGGAAACCCAGGCUAAUCCGCCAUGUGGUCCUGUCCUGUGGGGCAGGACUAAAGGGGCGAGCCGCUUCCGGAUGGGGCGGCGUCCCAUCCGCUUGUUGGUUGGGUAAAGGCGCACCGAGGCGACGACGGGUUGCCGGUCUGAGAGGCUGGCCGGCCACAGGGGCACUGAGACACGGGCCCCACGCCUACGGGAGGCAGCGGGGAAGAAUCUGCCGCAAUGGACGGAAGGCUGACAGAGCGACGCCGCUUGGAGGAGGAAGCCCUGCGGGGUGUAGACUCCUGAACUGGGGACGAAAGCCCCGUGGAGGGAGAUGACGGUACCCAGGUAAUAGCGCCGGCCAACUCCGUG